UUCCACAAGUUAAUCUGCAUUCCUGCUGGGAUGCUGCCACCGUGGUGGAUGAGAUCCCCUCCACUGGGCUGUUCAGUGGCACCUGAGCAGGGAGAUGGUUCUGGCUCAGUUGGUGGACUUAUAGGGCUUUUUCAGUCUUAAGGAUUCAAGGAUUCUGUGAUUUUAGUUUCCAGCCGACGCUGGGGAGGCUCCAGGAGGCUCUGCACUGAGGCACUGGGAGGUUUCAGUGCUGGCAGAAUUCCUGAUCCACUCACAGGAUCCAGCUUUUACAGACGAUUUGUUUUGAAGUGAAAAAGGAACAUCCCAGAUGGGAAUUUGUCCCUGCUGAUUAUGCCUUAUCCUACCCCGUUUCCCAGGCCAAGGUAACAGGAAAUCUUUGGAUGAUUUAGGAACUUGGUCCCUCCUGCAAGUCCCUCCAUAUGUAGAUUUUCCCUUGGCUAAUCAGUUUGCUGUGGGGAGGCAAUAUUUAAAGGAGCAGAAAAUCAUUAGAUGAUUUACAGGAGGGUGAAACCCCACGAUGAGGCUCCUUUUAGAGUAGAAAAUGAUUUAAUUAUUCUUUGCUGUUCGAAACAUCCGUCUUGGUAAAAAUGAAAGUGAUUGUGUCAGGCAGAAAAUUGGGCUCCAUGUUAAUAUUUGCUGUAAAUGAACAAAUGGCAGAGCCUUGGUUGGGUUCUUUGCUGGGCUGAAGAAGUGAAAUACAUUCCGAGGGGAUUUUAAUGCCCAGUAGUUUUUCAAAGCUAAUAAGGGAAUUCUCCAAGCCUGCUUGUGCUUUAGGUUUUAAUUUAAGGAAAGCUGGAUCUUUGUCUAGUGGAAUUAUUCUCUCUCUCCUCCCUCAGAGCUGGAAUUCUUGU